CCAGGAGGGUUGAGCGCUUAACCUUUACGCAGAGGCAUGGGGUUCCCGGGAGAUCAUAUCGCCCGGGGUGUGCAGAAGGAAAUUGGGUUGGGGUCCGCUGUGUGGGCAGUCAAUCGCUCCUUCCGACCUUCCUCUUCCCACCCUCGCUGAGCCAGCCCAGACGUCGGCAGUCUCCACCCUUCCUCCCUGCUCCGGGAGACCCGGCUCCCUGGGGGAAGGGCUGAAGGCAACGCAGACGCAGCCAGCCAAGAGGCUUGGGCCAGGGUCUCAGGGCAAAGGGCGUGGGAAGGGCUGGCCCUCAGAGCCGGUUGGGGAGUCCCCAGUACUGGGCACAGUGCCCACCCACCUUGCCCGUGACAUCGUAGCUCGGACUGCAGGGCGGGGAGUGCUCGGGCGCCUCUCCAUCCCGGGUGGCAGCGGCGCCAGACAUGCCCGUCACGUCUCCUGGACGAGAGGAAGAGGAGCAGACACGCAGGGAGAAGCCGGCCAUGUGAACACAGACGCAGAGAUCCGAGUGGUGUAUUUACAAGCCAACAAAUGGCGAGCAUCGCCAGGAGCCACCAGAAGCUGGAGGAGGCAAAGAAGGAGACCCCCGCCUCCCGCCCCCCAGAGCCUUCAGAGGGCUUCUAACUUCCAGCUGUGGUUUGUGUUGUUGGCUCAACCAAGAUCCUCCUUUGUCCUGUGCUGCCAGGAUUUUCCUGAAGAUUCUCCAGGUUGGCCCCAAAUCUCACUGCUUGGAGAAGCUGAAUGUCAACUUUGGAUCCAGAAUUUCUAUUGCACCUUCCCUCCUCUGAAGCAUUUGUGAAAAUGUUAAUGAAUCGUGGUUCAAACAGAGACCUCUGUGCCAACUCUGCCACCAUUCAGACAAGUGUUUCCGUUCUGUCUUAAGUCAGUUGGUUUAUGUUUGUAUUUGGCUCCAUCCAUUCCAAAAGGAAUUUGAGGAAUUCAAAACCCGCCUACACCAGAGGCCAGAUUUCCUGGCAUCCACGACAAAAUGGGAAGCUAGAUGGGGUAUGUAGUAUUUAUUGCCUGAGUCUUCUCAAUGAGUGAGUAUUUUCUGCCGGCAUGCGAUGUGGAGAGGAAUCUCUUAUGUGGAUUCUUAUAUGAGGGGCCUCUAGUGACAAAAUGGAAGAGUUGGGAUUUUGCAGAGAAGGUGAAGCUUUUCCUAUAGCUUUUCUAUUGACUCUUUUUUUCAUAUAAAAUUUUUUUUUAAUGUUUAUUCAUUUUUGAGAGACAGAGAGAGACAGAGCAUGAGCAGGGAAGGGGCAGAGAGAGAG